rnacentral:lncRNA from 1 species
AAAAAGAGUCAUUUGUUUGUAAAUCAAACUACACUGAGCACGCUGUUGUAGCGUUACACCCGAUAAGACAAUUCAAUAUAUGCAAUCUGAAUUUAAUAAUAAUAUUUAUUUUGUGGUAACACUGCGUGUGGGGGAGCUCUGAAACGGAAAAGCACUAUAGAUACCUAAGAGAAAGCCGUAAAAUGUAAGUGCAUCUUAUUUUGUUCUUGAAUGGAGGCCUAAUCUGUCGACUGCACUAGAGCAUUUUUAGAGUGAACGAAAACUUUUAAAGCAUAUAUGCCGUAUAAUGUGAUUAAAAUCAUACUUAACAUAUUUUACUACUGUGGGGAUUGGAUUAUUAUGAGCAAACAAAUUUAAAAGUUUAAUCUGAACGCACUUUAUAAUCUUGACAUCAUUUUUUUUUUUUUUUUUUUUAAAGAAAUUCUGAACUGCUGCAUGAACUCGUGCAUGAACAUUAAUCAAACAUAUAAGGCUGCAAUUUGGAAAAACCUUCAGGCUAAUGCUGCUGAAAUGGAGGUCAAGAGGACCAUGAAGAGGUGACACCAACUGGCAGAUCAUACCGUUUUUCAGGAGGCAGGCACACUGUUACAGUAAUCAGCUGAUCCAGUCGGUAUCCAAACCAGAAGGUGGACCUGCACCCAAGAACGACCACAACACAUCCCUGAAUGUCA